AUGGAAAGUGAGUGUGGCUCCAGCAGUGCUGUGAUCACCACAGAUACCAACUACUGCAAGUCACUUGUUGUAUUUGAUGGACAUGGAAAUAGGUACUAAUAAACAGUACAUGAAGAAAAUGCAGAGAGUAAUAAGAGAAUGCAAGCUUCAACGGGAUUGGAGGACGGUGAAAAUCUCCCUUGUUCUUCUCUUGAAGGCUUAUAUUCAUUUUCCUGAGAGAUUGUGUGCCCGGCUGUAGUUUAUAGAUACCCCAGUUUCUCUAUAUUCUCGUAUUUCAGGUUUGCGCAUCAAUUUCAGGAUUUCGGGAUGAUUCUUUUUGCAGCAAUACUUUGGGGACAGUGUCAAAACCUGCUGUUUGGAGGUCGUCAAGUAUGGCAUGACCGGUGUAAUAAGUUUUGGCACUGGAAUAUGAUAGUGGUGGUUGUGCACUUGUGCUCUCUGUAAGUGCUUUAACCUUGCUGUUGCACAUCUACUUGCUACUAAUUCUCCUAGAUGGAAUCACUGUUUCUUGCACCACAAGUAUGAAAACCCGGUUCCGCCUUGGUUCCAGACCUGCCUGUAAAAGCGUUCAGUGGCUCCGUUUUCAUUUCGCCUUUUGCUCUCUUCGCGACUGUAUAGCUGUGUUUGAUUGCGUCUCACCUCUAGUCCUAACAGCUGUGGUCAGACCAUCACAAUUAUCCUUCGAGUGGUGCUUGAGGGCGGGAAACAAAACGC